rnacentral:rRNA from 1 species
AUACGGGAGGCAGCAGUGAGGAAUAUUGCUCAAUGGGCGAAAGCCUGAAGCAGCGACGCCGCGUGAGGGACGAAAUCCGUUAGGAUGUAAACCUCUUUUACAGGGGAAGAAUGUGCCGCUUGGCGGCAUUGACGGUACCCUGUGAAUAAGCACCGGCUAACUACGUGCCAGCAGCCGCGGUAAUACGUAGGGUGCGAGCGUUGUCCGGAAUUACUGGGUGUAAAGGGUCCGCAGGCGGGCAGGAAAGUCAGAGGUGAAAGACUUCGGCUCAACCGAAGAAUUGCCUUUGAUACUUCUUGUCUUGAAUCCGAGAGAGGAUAGUGGAAUUCAUGGUGUAGCGGUGAAAUGCGUAGAGAUCAUGAAGAACACCAGUAGCGAAGGCGGCUAUCUGGCUCGGUAUUGACGCUCAGGGACGAAAGCGUGGGUAGCAAACAGGAUUAGAUACCCGGGU